rnacentral:rRNA from 1 species
CCAUGAAAGUCGAGCGGUAGAGAGAAGCUUGCUUCUCUUGAGAGCGGCGGACGGGUGAGUAAUGCCUAGGAAUCUGCCUGGUAGUGGGGGAUAACGUUCGGAAACGGACGCUAAUACCGCAUACGUCCUACGGGAGAAAGCAGGGGACCUUCGGGCCUUGCGCUAUCAGAUGAGCCUAGGUCGGAUUAGCUAGUUGGUGAGGUAAUGGCUCACCAAGGCGACGAUCCGUAACUGGUCUGAGAGGAUGAUCAGUCACACUGGAACUGAGACACGGUCCAGACUCCUACGGGAGGCAGCAGUGGGGAAUAUUGGACAAUGGGCGAAAGCCUGAUCCAGCCAUGCCGCGUGUGUGAAGAAGGUCUUCGGAUUGUAAAGCACUUUAAGUUGGGAGGAAGGGUUGUAGAUUAAUACUCUGCAAUUUUGACGUUACCGACAGAAUAAGCACCGGCUAACUCUGUGCCAGCAGCCGCGGUAAUACAGAGGGUGCAAGCGUUAAUCGGAAUUACUGGGCGUAAAGCGCGCGUAGGUGGUUUGUUAAGUUGGAUGUGAAAUCCCCGGGCUCAACCUGGGAACUGCAUUCAAAACUGACUGACUAGAGUAUGGUAGAGGGUGGUGGAAUUUCCUGUGUAGCGGUGAAAUGCGUAGAUAUAGGAAGGAACACCAGUGGCGAAGGCGACCACCUGGACUAAUACUGACACUGAGGUGCGAAAGCGUGGGGAGCAAACAGGAUUAGAUACCCUGGUAGUCCACGCCGUAAACGAUGUCAACUAGCCGUUGGAAGCCUUGAGCUUUUAGUGGCGCAGCUAACGCAUUAAGUUGACCGCCUGGGGAGUACGGCCGCAAGGUUAAAACUCAAUGAAUUG